rnacentral:rRNA from 1 species
GACAGAGGGUGCAAACGUUGUUCGGAAUUACUGGGCGUAAAGCGCGUGUAGGCGGCUUCGCAAGUCGGGUGUGAAAGCCCUGGGCUCAACCCAGGAAGUGCAUUCGAUACUGCGGAGCUGGAGUCCCGGAGAGGAUGGCGGAAUUCUCGGUGUAGAGGUGAAAUUCGUAGAUAUCGAGAGGAACACCUGCGGCGAAGGCGGGUUGCUGGGCUGAUACUGACGCUGAGGCGCGAAAGCCAGGGGAGCGAACGGG